GAAUGCAGGGUCCGUCCGUUUUACCUGGCGACAGCGGCGGCCCAAGCGGCCGACCUCGCUGCUCUGAUUCACCGCCGGUGUUGAAUACCUUCGAUCGUCCUCCUCGACUCGACUUCGUUGCUUGCUGAGGCUGGUCUUUGCAAACAUGGCUGAGCUUCUUUUUGAAGACAUCUUUACUUUGACAAGAAUAGAUCCAGAUGGUAAAAAGUUCAAUAAAGUUUCUCGUAUAGAAGCAUGCAGUGAGCAGUUUGAUAGGUUCAUGCAUCUAGAUGUGAAUACUGAAAUUUAUCCACUUCACGCUGGAGAUAAAUUCACAAUGGUUUUAUCUCCAACACUCAAUUUGGAUGAAAACCCCUGACACUGCCUACUUUAUGCAGAGAAAUAUAUGCCUCAUUCGGAGGACUAAUGAUGAUGCUCAAGGGUGACCCCUCCAAUGCAGCUCAAUUUGAAUUGGACCAGAGACUCUUUCUUCUGAUUAGAAAAGUGUAAUUGAUUUGUUUCUCAACUAGAACUACUCUUCAUCUUCAGGCUAGAUAAUGACUUGGCUUUUGAAACACAUGGAAAAGUUAUGGAGGCUACUUGUUUCUUUGGAUUCUGUAUGACGCGAGCUUGGAAUUUUUUUUUUUUUUGUUAUCAUGAAACUAAUUUU